AUGUACAUGCUUACAGCAUAGCGUGAAUGCAAUGGAUAGCAUUAGAACUCCAUAGUUAAGCACACUCGGGCUAGAGUAGUACUAGGAUGGGUGAAUUCCCGUGAAGUGUUGAUGAUUACAAC
rfam:Picea glauca, whole genome shotgun sequence.